rnacentral:lncRNA from 1 species
GGGGCUUGGGUCUGAGUGCCUCUGCUCCAGAGUGACUCUUCUUUAAAGAUGCCCUCAGUGGCUUCUUUAAACCGGGGGAUGGUGGGGAGUUGUGGCUCGGCAGGUUACCAACCCGACUAGGAUCUAUGAGGAGGAGGAUUUGAUCCCUGGCCUUUGCUCAGUGGGUUAAGGAUCCGGUAUUUCCGUGAGCUGUGGUGUAGGUCGCAGACACGGCUGGGAUCUGGCGUUGCUGUGUCUGUGGUGUCUGCCGGCGGCUACAGCUCUGAUUCCACGCCUAGCCUGGGAACUUCUAUGUGCCGUGGGUGCAGCCCUAAAAAUAAAAAUAGAAAAUAAAAUACAAUAAGAUGCCCUUGGCAUCAUUGUGCACCCCCCCUCGCCCCCCGUCAUGUUCCUUCCCUGCCCUGCUAGUGUGUGGCGGUGGGUGGCAGGACCCAGAGACAUGGCCAGUGCCAGGAGCCACACAGCAACAGCUUCUCUCUCCUCCCAGAUCAGCCCUGUCAGCCCUCCUCGAACCCGCACUGCCCGCCUGAUGACCGCCAAGGAGGGCCAGGCCCUGCUGAGUCACGAGGCCGCUCCCCCGCUGGGCACUGAGUCAUUCUUAACGAGCCCUCUGACGGGCAAACUGCUGCCAUCAUCCAGGAUUCACCCAAGUCUGCAGGAUUUGAGAACAUUCUUCCGGGAAGGAGUCUGGAGCCUCCCCCACACGGCUGCCCACAUCAGGAGCCUCAGAUACAGAGGCCUUUUUCCUUGCCUUUGGCCUCAGCAUCCAACACUCCACUCUUCUCAUGGAAACUCCGGGGGAGCGGCAGCGGAAACUCCAUCCGAUGCUUCACUGGGAAUCGGCACUAAGUUGGGGGGGGUGGCACCGCCUUCCAGGCCAGGAUGNGGGGGGGGGGGGGGGGGGGGGGGGGGGGGGGGGACAGGCACCCUGGGGUCACAUGAAAGUCUAGUCAUGGGACUUAGAUUUUCUUUGGUUUUCCCCCAAAGGCUGCUCUUUGAACUCAGACCCCUCCAAUGGGGCUGGUCUUUUGACUGGUGUUGGGUUUUCUGAAUCCGCUUCAUUGAGCGCUCCUGGGGGACCAAGGUGGCCAGUGAGAUGCCAGGAAUUUUUUUUCCUCUAAUGUUAUUUAAAGAGAGCU